UACGUAGGGGGCUAGCGUUGUCCGGAUUUAUUGGGCGUAAAGAGCGUGUAGGCGGCCAGGUAGGUCUGCUGUGAAAACUCGAGGCUCAACCUCGAGACGUCGGCGGAAACCAUCUGGCUAGAGUCCGGAAGAGGAGAGUGGAAUUCCUGGUGUAGCGGUGAAAUGCGCAGAUAUCAGGAGGAACACCGGUGGCGAAGGCGGAUCUCUGGGCCUUACCUGACGCUGAGGCGCGAAAGCUAGGGGAGCAAACAGG
rnacentral:rRNA from 1 species